rnacentral:ncRNA from 2 species
UCGCGACCACACGGGUGCCCUGGCAAGGGCUGAGAUCGGACUAUCGCCGUCCGCGACCGUUGAACCUGUCCGGGUAAUGCCGGCGAAGGAAGUGAGUUUCCCCAGUGG